UACGUAGGGUGCGAGCGUUAAUCGGAAUUACUGGGCGUAAAGCGUGCGCAGGCGGUUCGUUAAGUCAGCUGUGAAAGCCCCGGGCUCAACCUGGGAAUUGCGGUUGAAACUGGCGAACUAGAGUGUGGCAGAGGGGGGUGGAAUUCCGCGUGUAGCAGUGAAAUGCGUAGAGGUGCGGAGGAACACCGAUGGCGAAGGCAGCCCCCUGGGCUGACACUGACGCUCAGGCACGAAAGCGUGGGGAGCAAACGGG
rnacentral:rRNA from 1 species